UACGUAGGGGGCUAGCGUUGUCCGGAAUCAUUGGGCGUAAAGCGCGUGUAGGCGGUCCGGUAAGUCCGCUGUGAAAGUCGGGGGCUCAACCCUCGGAUGCCGGUGGAUACUGUCGGGCUUGAGUACGGAAGAGGCGAGUGGAAUUCCUGGUGUAGCGGUGAAAUGCGCAGAUAUCGGAAGGAACAUCAGUGGCGAAAGCGGCUUCCUGGACCAGUACCGACGUUCAGGCACGAAAGCGUGGGGAGCAAACAGG
rnacentral:rRNA from 1 species